rnacentral:rRNA from 1 species
AUUGAACGCUGGCGGCAGGCCUAACACAUGCAAGUCGAGCGGAUGAAGGGAGCUUGCUCCUGGAUUCAGCGGCGGACGGGUGAGUAAUGCCUAGGAAUCUGCCUGGUAGUGGGGGAUAACGUCCGGAAACGGGCGCUAAUACCGCAUACGUCCUGAGGGAGAAAGUGGGGGAUCUUCGGACCUCACGCUAUCAGAUGAGCCUAGGUCGGAUUAGCUAGUUGGUGGGGUAAAGGCCUACCAAGGCGACGAUCCGUAACUGGUCUGAGAGGAUGAUCAGUCACACUGGGACUGAGACACGGUCCAGACUCCUACGGGAGGCAGCAGUGGGGAAUAUUGGACAAUGGGCGAAAGCCUGAUCCAGCCAUGCCGCGUGUGUGAAGAAGGUCUUCGGAUUGUAAAGCACUUUAAGUUGGGAGGAAGGGCAGUAAGUUAAUACCUUGCUGUUUUGACGUUAUCAACAGAAUAAGCACCGGCUAACUUCGUG